rnacentral:rRNA from 1 species
AAACUUUCAACAACGGAUCUCUUGGCUCUCGCAUCGAUGAAGAACGCAGCGAAACGCGAUAUGUAAUGUGAAUUGCAGAAUUCAGUGAAUCAUCGAAUCUUUGAACGCACCUUGCGCCUUUUGGUAUUCCGAAAGGCAUGCCUGUUUGAGUGUC